AGCCCACUCCUAGCUAAGCGCCCGGGACUGGGCCUUCCCCAGCAAAGGAGGAAUUAGCAUAUCUAAAGGACUGCUGGGGGUGGGCCGGAUGGGGAGUGUCUGGGGGUAGCGCUGGUCUGGCCCUCUCAGUCCAGGAGCGGCUGUGGCCCAAGAGAUCACCCAGCCCACCGGGCGGCAGGUGCCUCUCUGUCGCAUAGGUGAUACAUCAAACAUUUCCCUGAGUUGCCUAAGGCGGAGUCUGGUCUUCCUUCCUAUUUUUCACCAACCCAGAACCCUUCUACACUAUCUGCUUUCCAGGGAGGUGCCCACAGGAUGGGCCGGCCAGGGUCAGAGGUGGGAGGGCUUGGUGCUCUUGCUAUUGUAUUGCAGUCACAUUAUAAACUGGUAGUUUGGUUUAGUGGUCAUCCACCCUUCUGCCCCAAAGCAGAAGGUCUCUUCCUAGGAUCAUACCCUGGACAGACGUGGAUUCAGGAGGAGGACAGCACUCAGUGAAGCCCAAGACAGCAAGAGCAGCCUUCCCCACCUGUGUUUGUUCUGGCUUCAGAAAAAGCAGAGUGAACGCCAGGACGCUAUGGGAUGGGCGGGAAGCCACCCACCUGCACGGACUCUGCUAAUGGAUUCGUCACAAUGGAUCCCUUUUUGGACUUUUAAAUAAACCACAAAAAGGAUACACUUUGAGCCUUCAUAACAGGCUGAGCUUUGCUCCUUGAAACUGGUGACUUAGCACAUGCCAUCCUAUCUUGAUGUGACAAAGAAUAAAAUACCAAGACCAAGACCACCACCUUGGCGGGUAAUUCCUAACAAAAUAACAUCUGGCUUAUAGGAAUACAGCAAAGUUGCAGGAUACAAAAUCAACACACAGAAAUCUGUGGCUUUCCUAUACACUAACAAUGAACCAACAGAAAGAGAAAUCAGGAAAACAACUCCAUUCACAAUUGCAUCAAAAAAAAUAAAAUACCUAGGAAUAAACCUAACCAAAGAAGUGAAAGACUUAUACUCUGAAAACUACAAGUCACUCUUAAGAGAAAUUAAAGGGGACACUAACAGAUGGAAACUCAUCCCAUGCUCAUGGUUAGGAAGAAUUAAUAUCGUCAAAAUGGCCAUCCUGCCCAAAGCAAUAUACAGAUUUGAUGCAAUCCCUAUGAAACUACCAGCAACAUUCUUCAAUGAACUGGAACAAAUAAUUCAAAAAUUCAUAUGGA